AGUGAACGCUGGCGGUAGGCCUAACACAUGCAAGUCGAACGGCAGCACAGUAAGAGCUUGCUCUUACGGGUGGCGAGUGGCGGACGGGUGAGGAAUACAUCGGAAUCUACUUUUUCGUGGGGGAUAACGUAGGGAAACUUACGCUAAUACCGCAUACGACCUACGGGUGAAAGCAGUGGAUCUUCGGACCUUGCGCGAUUGAAUGAGCCGAUGUCGGAUUAGCUAGUUGGCGGGGUAAAGGCCCACCAAGGCGACGAUCCGUAGCUGGUCUGAGAGGAUGAUCAGCCACACUGGAACUGAGACACGGUCCAGACUCCUACGGGAGGCAGCAGUGGGGAAUAUUGGACAAUGGGCGCAAGCCUGACGCAGCCACACCGCGUGGGUGAAGAAGGCCUUCGGGUUGUAAAGCCCUUUUAUUGGGAAAGAAAAGCAGCAGAUUAAAACCCCGCUGUUCUGACGGUACCCAAAGAGAAAGCACCGGCUAACUUCGUG
rnacentral:rRNA from 1 species